CCAAAGCUACAGCAAAUCGUACACGUUUUAAGUGUACAAGUCUACAAUUGUAUAYRCCAAAUUGGAGUAAAAUCCAGGAAUUAUGGCGUUUGCCRAAACCGCCACGCCUUACAUAUGGUUUCCAAGGAUACCUUUAUAACAGAGUUGCCAACUUGAAAAUGACAAAGCACAUCGAAGCKAAGCGAACAACUGCAUUGGCGGUCGUGACAAGACAGCCCGUUGACAGCAGUCUUUUGGCGGCGUGUGUUCUUCCUGGUCUUUUUUUGCUGGUCUUCAUCAUGGUUGUAAUAAUCAAAUGCCGUAGAGCAAAAAAACUACGAGCAUGUGUCAAGGAAGCGACGGCAAGCGUCACGGCC